rnacentral:rRNA from 1 species
AGCUUGCUCCCGGAUGUUAGCGGCGGACGGGUGAGUAACACGUGGGUAACCUGCCUGUAAGACUGGGAUAACUCCGGGAAACCGGAGCUAAUACCGGAUAGUUCCUUGAACCGCAUGGUUCAAGGAUGAAAGACGGUUUCGGCUGUCACUUACAGAUGGACCCGCGGCGCAUUAGCUAGUUGGUGAGGUAACGGCUCACCAAGGCGACGAUGCGUAUCCGACCUGACAG